rnacentral:rRNA from 1 species
UGGGUGACCUGCCCUCAGCUCUGGGAUAAGCCCGGGAAACUGGGUCUAAUACCGGAUAUGACCUCUCAUCGCAUGGUGAGGGGUGGAAAGUUUUUCGGCUGGGGAUGGGCCCGCGGCCUAUCAGCUUGUUGGUGGGGUGAUGGCCUACCAAGGCGACGACGGGUAGCCGGCCUGAGAGGGCGACCGGCCACACUGGGACUGAGACACGGCCCAGACUCCUACGGGA